rnacentral:lncRNA from 1 species
UUUCUGUCAGCAAACGAAAUUCUUCGGCUAAAGGAGACGAGCAACUUACAAACAAAAAUAAAAUAAAAAUAAAGUAGAUAGAACUGGGGCUAGAAAAAAAAUUGGGAAAUGAAAAGAUGAAUACACAUUCCGUUUCACAUAUCAUAUGUGUAAUUCGGAAUAGGACGCAUUUUUUUAAAUAAAAAAAAUAUAAUAAGAUGUUCAAAUGUUGGAACAGAAUCCAUUUAUUAAAUCAAAUUUACAAGAUAAAAUUUUGAAAGCGUUAUGCUCAGCUCUGUUCGUGUAACGCACUGUAGGAACUGAAUAAUUCAUUUAAGGAUGUAAUCCCCUCUAAUGAUAACUGGAUCAGUGUCGCGAAAGUUAAGACAACCCCUACAUUUUCUACCAUCAUUUGAUCUUCUUCAGACUAGCGAAUGCAAGUGUCGAGAUACCGGCAAGCACUUAAAGGGAUUCAAGUGCAAUACUGACAUCCUAAGACAAGCACAAGCUGCGCCGUGAAGAAGGCAAGAGAAGCAAAAAAACGUAGAGGAAGUCCGGCCAGAUUCGUUCCUGGAACUGUUGCGGCGUCGGUUGUGGAAAUCCUGUCAAAGCCAUAAGGACUGGCCUAGGCCAGAUUCGUUCCUGGAACUGUUGCGGCG